UACAGAGGAGCCAAGCGUUGUCCGGAUUGACUGGGCGUAAAGCGCACGCAGGCGGCCGCGCGCGUGGGGUGUGAAAUCUGGCCGCUUAACGGCCAGGCGCCAUCCCAUACGGCGCGGCUGGAGCCAUGCAGAGGGCGGUGGAAUUGCCGGUGUAGUGGUGAAAUGCGUAGAGAUCGGCAGGAACACCCAGGGGGAAACCAGCCGCCUGGGCAUGCGCUGACGCUGAGGUGCGAAAGCGUGGGGAGCAAAAGGG
rnacentral:rRNA from 1 species